UGACAAUGCUCAGAGAGUUUUACAAAGUUGUGUCAACAGGAAACAUCCAGACAGUGUUCUCAAACACCCCAUGUUAUCCAGAGGAGGGAUCCAGCGCCAAAGUGCCUGGCUCUUAGCCCCGUGAUCUCGUGGCCACAGCUCCGUCCCAGCAGCAGCUAUUUCACAAGCUACUCCAGUGAAACUCUUCCACCCCGUCUCUCUGCACUCCGCACCAACAACCAUGUCUUUUCUGCCCACACCUCCUGACACAGACAAACCAUCCAUUUCCCAACCAUCAGCUGAGAUGCAGGGGAAUAACUUCUCCCAGGGGACUGAGGUCGCUGAAGACACCAAAACAUGGCCAUCCCAAAUUGCUCUUGGGACUUGUCAGCAGCAAUGACAAUGGCAAAAGGCAGAAAAAAAAAAAAGAGAGAGAGAAAGAGACAGAAACAGCUCUGCAAAGUAUCUGGAAGAAAGGCUUCUGGGACCAAACCUCGAGAGACACCAGGACCAGUGGCACAUUCUGGAGGCCAGGAGGUGCAUUGCAGGUUUUCACCCAGCGGGAGGGGCAGGCAACACUUGGGAGAUCCCAGUUGCCCAAAAGCCCUGCAGAGCCAAAGGCUCCAAGGCCACAAGUGAACAGGGAUCAACCUGUGACUUCCAGUCAGGAGGCCAGGUUUCCAGCUGCCGCUACUUGGCUCCCUUGAGGGCAGCCACAGACUACUUAGGGUAUUUUAUCCAAAUACCAAUGAAAAUAAUCGCUUUUCAAAACUGUAGCUAUAAUUCAUCUAUUCAGGAUAGAACCAAGACACUAACCCUGCAGCAUGUUCCAGGUGCUCAGGGACUCUCCACAAAUGUUUACAGAAUAAAUAAAUCAACGUAGUAGGGAAAAUUGGUUUGGGAUUUGUCAAAAGUUCUGAUUGAACUGAACUCUCUUGUCAAGACUUAAGAGAUCAUUAACAGAAGAAAAAAAUCAAUAUGUUUUAGCUGACUGUGAUGUGCAAGACGUUUUGCUAGAUGCAUGGAGACAUUAGAGGAAAAAAAAAGAAAGGAUGGUCCCUGACCUCAAGCUGCUCCGGUUAAGAGUGAGCCCUUGGAUGCAAAGAGAUUUGGGGUUAAGUCUCAAAAACCCAAUUCAAUAGCUGAGUGUGUGUAGGCAGUUGUCAUCGCUUAGUCUUCAACCCUCAAUUUUCUCAUCUGUGAAAUGGAACACUAACAAUAAUCACCUCCCAGAGCUGUGUGAGAAUAAAUGAGACAAUGCUUGCAACAUGCCAGGCAAUGAAUGAACAAAAAAUGGCAGCUGCUCCUGUUUAUUUUAUUUGUAUCAACAAGGAUGGGAAGAGGCUGUGCUGAUCACUUUGGCAGCCCCAGGUGAACGGUUUGUCUGCUCUAUAGCAGGAAGACCAACUCCAGGCUUUAUUAAUAAUUGGAUUUAGGCGUCAUCCUAUCACCUUAUAUCUUAAUUAUAGCUGCAAAGAACUUGUAUCUUUUUUUAUUUUAUUUUUCUUUAGAGUCAGAAUCUGGCUCUCUCACCCAGGCUAAAGUGCAGUGGCACGAUCUCAGCUCACUGCAGCCUCAAACUCCUGGGCUCAAGUGAUUUUCAAGCCUCAGCCUCCUGAUUACCAGGGACUACAGGCAUGAGUCACUGCACCUGGCUAAAGACCCUAUUUCUAAUAGGAUCAUGUUCACAGGCCCAGGAAUUAGGACUUAAGCAUAUCUUUAUGGGGGACACAAUUCAAUCCACACUGGCCACGCCCUUCCAGCUGGCUGGCUCCUCCCUUUGCUCAAUGUCAGGCCCUGCCCAAACAUCACCUUCCCAAGAGGCUUCCAGACCCACCCUAUCCCAGGCAGCCCUCACCACACCUCUUGCCCUCCUUUUGCUUUACUUGACUUUUCUCCAAAGAACUUGUCAGCACCUGCAAUAUUAUGUAUUUCAUGUUUGUUAUCUGCCUCCCUAACCAGUGCAUAAACUUCCUGAGGGCAGGGAUUAGUCUGGGAUACAGCUGGCACUCAAUAGAUGUUUGUGGAAUGACUGAGACAGUGGGUGAUGACUGGAUAGUUGCUCUGCUGGGACGCUGGGGACACCUGCACUACCUUUCUCCUCCCCGCCAGUUGCAAAGCUUCUUCUCAUUUUGGGGACACUGUGGUAGUGGGGAGUAGUGGCCUCCUAAAGACAUCUUCAUCCCGGGAACCUGUUAAUGUGACUGAUAGAGUUUGCAUAUUUGUCUCUUCCCAAAUCUUAUGUUAAUCGUAAUCCUUAGUGUUGGAGGUGGGAGGUGGUGGGAGGUGACUGGAUCAUGGGAGUGGACCCCUCAUGGCUUGAUGCUGUCCUUGCCAUAGUGAGUGAGUUCUCAUCAGAUCUGGUCAUUUAAAAGUAUGUGGCACCAGCUGGGCCCAGUGCCUCACGCCUGUAAUCCCAGCACUUUGGGAGGUCAAGAUGGGCAAAUCACCUGAGGUCAGGAGUUUGAGACCAGCCUGGCCAACAUGGCGAAACCCCACCUCUACUAAAAAUACAAAAAUUAGCCAGGCAUGGUGGCACAUGCCUGUAGUCCCAGCUACUCGAGAGGCUAAGGCAGGUGAAUUGCUUGAACCUGCGAGAUGGAGGUUGCAGUGAGCCGAGAAUGUACCACUGCACUCCAGCCUGGGUGACAGAGCAAGACUCCGUCUCAAAAAAAAAGUAUGUGGCACCUCCCUGGCACCACCACCAGCCCCUACUUGCUCCUGCCCCUGCCCUUCACCUUUUCCAUGAUUGUAAGCUUUCUGAGGCCUCCCCCGAAGCAGAGGUCAGCACCAUGCUUCCUGUUCAGCCUGUAGAACAAUGA
rnacentral:lncRNA from 1 species